GAAGAUCAAAACCUGCAACCUACA
rnacentral:siRNA from 1 species